GCAACAUCUCCCCUUUCCUGUCAUUUUCUCCCUCCUGGCUUCUCCUAAGGGAUGAGGUGGGGGUCAAGACUUGGCUUAACCAAUGGGACCAGGAAACACCUGGUAAGCAGUUAGGGGCCCCAGAGGCUCCUGGGAGUCCAGGAAGGCCUCACAUUGGCAGUCCAUCUUUUCCUCUCUCUUAGCCCUUCAUGGGUGACCCUGCCAGAAGAGGCCCACAUUCACUGGGAUUUAACCCCAUCAAGAUCACCAGAGGGAGAUUUAAAAAUACAGAUGACCAGGCCCUGCCAACUCGGAUCAUAGGCCUGGAUGGAAGCUAGGGCUCUUUUUAAGCCACUGUAGGUAAUUCUAACAUCAGCCAAGUGUGGGGACUUCAGAAAGCUCAGGCUGUGGGUUGGUUACAAGUGAGUAACAGAGUCCUCAAGAGGCCUGAGCCCACCAGAAGGGUCAGAGUCACCAACUGAGAGAGUGGCUUAGAAAAGAGGGGCACUCCUGCAUCUCAAUGCAGGUGUCCCAGGAGGGCCAUGGGACCUCUGGCUACCAUCUGACAAGGCCCCGUGUGAAAAUCAAAGCAAUGGACAAGCUGUUCCCUGUGGCAGACAGCAGAAGGUGGGGGAGGCUGGGAAGCCUGCUUCCCAGCAAGGACAAAAAGGUGGCACAGAUGAUUCAAGCUAAAAGAGAAAUCCAUCUUCACAGAAUCCUGCUCCUGUCCAAGCUGGCCUCAAUUUUCAGGCUCAGGCGAUCCUCCCACCUCAGGCUAAUGGGACAGACAGCACACCUAGCUGAGCACUGGUUUCUUGCUGUCAGCAUCCUUGGGAUGUAAAAAGUGAUGGAGUUAAAAGUGAGCACCACCAUAUUCAACUUGUACAGUGUUGGGAAUAGACCCAGAGCUUCUUGCAUGAUGGGUAUGUCUUAUGGAAAAACAAAAGCACAAAGAAGCAGGCUAACCCCAGCAUGCAAGCAGACCCUGCUUCCAUCCCUAGCACCACAGAAAAUGGUCUGGAGGCGUACAACUAAGAAUCCAGGCACCUAGGCAGUAAAGGCAGAAACAUGAAGCAUAGCAUGAUCUUCAACUUCAUGCCAGGCUUGAACCAGCCUGGGCUACCUACUACCUCCCUCAUGCAUGCCAAGGACAUGUACUGACUGCCACAACACGCCUGGAUAGCAAACUGCUGUGACGUAAACGGCCAGUGGUCAGAGCUUGGUUACAUAAAGAUGACAAUUCCUACAGUGGAAAUAGUCUAGGAAUUAUGUGGCUAAACUGGUCAGCCUUGUUGUAAGUGAAAAGCCAGACUGUAAAAUGAAACUGCAGAAUGGUUCUAGUCACAGAAACACAAACCUGUGAGGCAGGCUUAGGUCCACAGACCGACAGAAAACUGUGGCGUCUACACUGCAGACAGCAUCGACAGCCUCCAGAGGGAUUCUGUUAUCUAAGUGUGUGUGCGACUUUUGAGACAGUAUUUUAUUCUGUAGCCCAAGCUAGCCUGGAGCUCACUAGGCAAGCCAUUCUGGCUUUGAACCUGUGACCCUUCACCUGCCUCUGCCUCCUGAGUGCUGGGAUCUCAGGCAUGCACCAUUGUGUCCAGCUCUAAAGCAUAUUAAAUUUAAAGUGUGUGUGUGUGUGUGUGUGUGUGUGUGUGUGUGUGUGUGUGUAGGGAGACUAUUUUAAAAUAAGAAUGUGUUUGUGUAAUACUUACAUAAUAUAAAGUAACUUUUAAAAC